rnacentral:rRNA from 1 species
GACGAACGCUGGCGGCGUGCCUAAUACAUGCAAGUAGAACGCAGUUGCGAACGGGUGAGUAACGCGCAGGUAACUGCCUCAUUGCGGGGGACAACUAUCGGAAACGAUAGCCAAUACCGCAUACUGUGAGCCGGACCUGCGUUGUAUUUGGUAGUUGGUGAGGUAAAGGCGCACCAAGGCGACGAUACAUAGCCGACCUGAGAGGGUGGUCGGGCAAACUGGGACUGGGGAACGGCCCAAACUCCUACGGGGAGCAGCAGUAGGGAAUCUUCGGAAAUGGAGGGAAGUCUGACCGAACAACGCCGGGUGGGUGGAGGAGGUUUUCGGAUCGUAAAGCUCUGUUGUUAGAGAAGCGGUAACUAACCAGAAAGCGACGGCUAACUACGUGCCAGCAGCCGCGGUAAUUC